rnacentral:misc_RNA from 1 species
AUGCAAACUAUUGCAAAAUUUGAGAUGAAAUUUAAGAUUUGGGAAAACAUUUGGUGGGCAUCAUUAGUUGUUCAAUCUGUUGUACUUCCUCUCAUCUAUUGGGAGGGCAUAUAAUGUAAGAUACUACAGACUGGUGCCAAAGGGUUUUAUAGCUGAUUUCAUUUAGUUGGAAUUAAGGCUGAGUUGAGUUUUGUAGUUUAUUAUCCCUUAUCUUUCUGUGAGUGUGAGCAAGCAUGUGCAUGGGCAUUCUAUUAAUUAUUGGAAUAUUCUAAGAUAAAAAAAAAUGCCAACUCUUGAUGGAAGUGCUAGACUAGUGACUAAUAUUUUCUUACAUCUUGUCUAAACCAGGAGCAAACUUUUGAGCUUACAUCUUUCCACAUUAUGAAGAGUAUAUUGAGCAUGAUUUUUCUAAUAUAGCUUGAUAAAUGAUGAGUAUGGUCAAGGUUCCACUCUGUGUAAUCAGUCUCUUCCAUGUUUCUAGACUUGAAUUGAUAAUUGAGCUGAUCCUUUUAUUCAUUUAAUUGAUUUAAUUUUCUUCUAACGGGAAUUUUCUUUCAUUAUAUCAAGCUGAAUCCAUGUAUUUUUUUUUUA